rnacentral:lncRNA from 1 species
AACAGCCCAUUCACUAGCAGAUGCUCAGCAUAAACCAGGCUAAGGUUAACAUUCCUUGUUGUCACACUACUCUGCAUCUAGGCUCUCUCAGAAUUAGAAUGAUGACUUUCCGAUGCCUGAUGCUGCUUUCAUGUUACUGGCAACCAUGAAAUUCCUUCUGUUCUACACUGAUGUUCCUUAGAACUGAUUGUCAUGAAUAGGCCUUUGUGAGCUCACUACAUCACUUCUUGGUGGAAGGAAUCCAGCUUCCUCAACUGAGACUCAAACUCUUAAGCAUAGCAUUUGGAUGACAGUCACCAUCAAUUCAUGUGAAUUGUUACUGUUUCUUUCACUUUGGUUGUGGAACUCCUACUAAGUGCUGAAGAAAAGACUGAUCUAGCCCAAGAAUUUUGCAAAAGAUUUGAUUUCAGAGAGGUAUGAAAAGGAUACACCAAAUUUUGUGACAAGCAUUGCUAAAGAUCCUCUGAAUCUAAAGUUCCGGUCUCAGUGUUUAAGCAAAGUCCAUGGACUGCAUCCCUUGACAGAAGGAAAAAAAAGAUCUAGAUCGAAGGAAACAUUCAUUACCUACAAGGCUAAGGAACUCAAGUGGGAUUCCAAGCUGUUGCUACCAAAGGAGCCUUGGCCUACCAAAUCUGGCUCCUUUACGAGGCACAGAAGCCAACGAGGUGCACACAGCGCCUUUAUAGAACGUGUGGAAGAAACAUUGAGUAAACUAUGGCUGGAAGAGGCAAACGAGAAGAAGGCAGGAAGAAGCAGGAAAAAAGCAGCAGAUGGUCUACAGCGGGAAAGAUCGAGUGCAGCUGUUUCCACUGAGAAAUACCCUGACAUGGAGCUGUGGGCCAAGAGAGAAGAAGGCCUCCAAAAAGGAUGGCUAUCUCAGUCACCAUCAGCAGGACCACCUAUCCGGGGAAUGCCACCAGCACAGGUAUCUCUUUCUCUACAUAUCAAACCAGAACCCUUGGGGUUUUUGCUGCCUACUGGCAUCUCUCAGAGUGUUGAAGAGCUGAGAUGCAAGUAAAGAAGGAAAAUGACAUUUUAUAUAAAUCUUUCUGUGGUAUUAUGGUUGCUACUGUUCUUCAGCAUCUGUUGCAUUCGGAAAUCUGUAGGACCAUGUAUCUUUAUGCCACUGGCUCACUGGCUGUAAUAGUUGUAAAAGAAAAUUAUAUACAAAUGUAACUACCAUGUUAAAUUAUUUUAUUUUUGUAACAUGCAUUACCCACUGGCACUCAGUCAUUUACUUAAAAUAAUACAAUAAAUGUUAUAAAACCAUGUCA